AAUCAACGCUGGCGGCGCGCUUAACACAUGCAAGUCGCACGAGAAAGGGAGCAAUCCUGAGUAAAGUGGCGUACGGGUGAGUAACACGUGGGAAUCUACCUCUUGGCGGGGAAUAACCCUGGGAAACCGGGGCUAAUACCGCAUAAGCUCGUGAGAGGAAAGCAGCAAUGCACCGAGAGGGGAGCCCGCGGCCGAUUAGCUAGUUGGUGGGGUAAUGGCUCACCAAGGCGAAGAUCGGUAGCCGGCCUGAGAGGGCACACGGCCACACUGGCACUGAAACACGGGCCAGACUCCUACGGGAGGCAGCAGUGGGGAAUCUUGCACAAUGGGGGAAACCCUGAUGCAGCGACGCCGCGUGAGCGAUGAAGCCCUUCGGGGUGUAAAGCUCUUUCGACAGGAACGAUAAUGACGGUACCUGGAGAAGAAGCUGCGGCUAACUACGUG
rnacentral:rRNA from 1 species